UGAGUAACCUGCCCUUAAACUCUGGGAUAAGCCUGGGAAACUGGGUCUAAUACCGGAUAUGACUCCUCAUCGCAUGGUGGGGGGUGGAAAGCUUUAUUGUGGUUUUGGAUGGACUCGCGGCCUAUCAGCUUGUUGGUGAGGUAAUGGCUCACCAAGGCGACGACGGGUAGCCGGCCUGGAGGGGGUGACCGGCCACACUGGGACUGAGACACAGCCCAGACUCCUACGGGGAGCAG
rnacentral:rRNA from 1 species